GUCAAAUAAACUAUUACAAAUUUACAAUUAAUAAAACCAAAUUGAUAUUGCUUUUUAUUUAGAGAACAAAGUACCUAGAUGAAAUGUAUAAAUGGGAACGAAGGACUCACUUUUUGGCGGGGUUGGAGGGAGGGACAAGUGGCUCUUUCCUAAUCAAGUCUUUGGGGGACACAAUUAUGUUGCGCAGGUAAAAAUAAACGAAAUGGGACUUUCAGAGAGAGAGAGAGAGAGAGAUGAAAAGAGGGAGCGGGCCGUGAAAUUUCAUUGUAAGAGAUGCAGUAAUUCACGGGCUAAAAAAGUAUGUUAUGUUUAGAGUUAAAAUGCAGCACGUUUAUUAAAAUAAAAAAGGGGGGAGGGUCUGGCCGUAAUAAACAUUAUAAAGCCUUGAACCAAAUCAACGGGUGUAGCCGGUGUGUACUACUAGUAAAUAAAUAUCUACUUCAAAUUUUGUUUCACCUAGACACUGGUUAUAGUGGCCUAAGUACUAACCUCACUAACCUAAAACGGUUGAGCCGCAAAAUAGUCUCAAAUAAUUUAUUGACUAAUAUUUCUUGUGUUACGGUGAGGCUAGUGUAGAGUAGAGAAUUCUGUUGUGUGCUUAGAUUUAGGUUCCUCUGCAUCCGGAAGAAAAGGCAAUUUGGUCUCUACCCUAUCCAAGUGGGACAUGAACAUAGUUGUUUUCCAUGUCAUGAAUUUAAUACAGGAAUAAUUUUGGCACAGUUUUACCUUUUCAAGCGGACACUUGUACAUUCAUAGAAUUGAAUCCAAUGGAUUAGUCAACACAUCACUAAGUCAUAGUAUUGAAUCCAGUGGAUUAGUCAGCACAUCACUAAGUCAUAGAAUUGAAUCCAGUGAAUUAGUCAACACAUCACUGAGUCAUAGAAUUGAAUCCAGUGAAUUAGUCAACACAUCACUGAGUCAUAGAAUUGAAUCCAGUGAAUUAGUCAACACAUCACUGAGUCAUAGAAUUGAAUCCAGUGAAUUAGUCAACACAUCACUGAGUCAUAGAAUUGAAUCCAGUGAAUUAGUCAACACAUCACUGAGUCAACAAAUAACCAGGUGCUUCCUAACAUGAAUGCUUUUAAGAAGACCUUGACCUGACACGACCCACAGACCCAUCCUAUACCACUUUAAACUAUCCGUGGCAUUUUACAUUUCGAAAACCAAUUAUUUCCCUUAAACCAUCUAAUAUGACUUCAGUCCUCGAUGACAUGGUCACAAAAUGAGCUUUAAAAACACCAGAGGCUACAACGUUUUCAGCCUUUUGUUUUGUUUUGUAAGUUUGCGAUCCAGGAUUUUCCCUUUAUGCUUGUCCUCCAAGUUGGCCUUACCUGUUUUGUUUCUCUUUCUGUAAGCUAUGCUUAUAAUGCUAUUUACUUAUAAUUUACAUCAAGAUCUUAUAUAUAUAUAUUUAUUUUUUUUAGAUGAAAGUGGAAGUAAUAGUAAAAAUCGACCAAGUUUGAAAUUACUAGGAGAAUUGGCAUUUCAACUAGAGAGACGCAUUUUGGACUAUGUCUUUGGAAUGGAUGACUCAAAGCGGCGGCGUUUCUAUGGUUACACGGUCAGUAAUAUUUUCUCAAUGAUGGAGAAAGAAUCUAAAAGCCCAAAGGGUGGAAGUGACGUAAUUACCAAAAGUGAAUUGGCAGGUAGAUUGAAGAAAUUACUCACUGCAUUGGAAAAGUAUGGAUACAAUAUUAAGAUUCACGGAGAAUUCGCCCAGGAAAUGGUAAAUAAAUAUGGAUUGCUGGCGUGCCCACCGGAUGAAUCAACCAUUCAAAUGUUUGGACUUAAUGAUUCCUCUUCGAUAGCAUGCUUAAUUCAACAAUUAGCACAAGGUCCUAGCGAAAUAAGCAACUUCACCAUUUUACUGAAUUGCUUAAAAUACUUGUGCAAAUGUGAUAAAAGACCACUUUUCAUGUGGUGAUCAUUACAACUCAAUUCCAAUAACUUUAAAUAAUCUUAACAUUGCUGUUGUACUAUGUAAAGAAACAAAUAACAAAAACUUAAAACCUAAUAACUCAUUAGAUUUGCGCAUCCUGUGUAAAGCAACAAAAAAGGUAAUUUAUUUGAAAAACAAAAGAAAAUGUAGCUGCAGUGUUGAAACCGCGAAUAUGCAGUUACAUCUAGAACAUAUCAAGGCUAAAAAAAAUUACAAAAACACAAAUAGGUUUGUUAAUGUAGUUGUCAAUUCUAGUUCUUUUACAGGAUAUAAUUUUGGAAGUUGAGUGAUCAGUGCAUAGGAAAUUAGUACUUAAGAAAAGGUACCGUGAUAAAAACAAGAAAGUUAAUUAUUUAAGAUCCAUAAACCUUAAAAAAUUAAGUUUCUUUAUUUGAAGUUUCAUUAAGAGAUGUAACCAAACUUCUCAUGUUGUUUUUAUUUUCCUGCCAAUUACUUACGAGAAGUCAUGUUUCCGAUUUCAAAAUAAUUGACAUUUAAUUUGUUGAAAUAAAAUAACUUACAGCAAAAAAAUAUUGUGAAAAAAAUAGUAUCAUCUUUUAACAACACUGUAUCAUUCUACUUAUCCAACUCUACCAAUGACUUGAUCACCUAUAAAUCAAUGAUACCAGCGCAAAGUAAAUAAAGUUGUUGAACAACAUA
rnacentral:sRNA from 1 species